rnacentral:lncRNA from 1 species
UCGUGGCCCACAGGAAAGAUCCUACAGGAAUGGAUCCUGAUGAUAUUUGGCAGCUGUCCUCCAGUCUUAAAAGGUUUGAUGACAAAUACACCUUGAAGCUGACCUUCAUCAGUGGGAGAACAAAGCAGCAGCGGGAAGCCGAGUUCACAAAGUCCAUUGCUAAGUUUUUUGACCACAGUGGGACACUGGUCAUGGAUGCAUAUGAGCCUGAAAUAUCCAGGCUCCAUGACAGUCUUGCCAUAGAAAGAAAAAUAAAGUAGCCAAUUCUAAAAGUAGCCCUCUUUCUCCUGGAUCUUGCUGAAUUAGUGGCUUGGGGGGUGGGGGAGAUAAAAAGAACUUAAAAUGGGUAAAGUAAGAAAUGUUAAAAAGUCCCUGUUUUGUCCUGAAAUUUUAGUCUAUUCUGGGUAAAUAGGAUUUUCUGACACAGAUAUGAGAAGUUGUAGCUCUGAUGUCUAGCUGUAGUCUCCUUGAUCUGCUGAUUGCAUUAUUUUAAUUUGCUUUUCUGGGAAAGCAGUUUUGCUAAAAGCUGUACAGACUUUUUCUUUUGUACCUAGCAGUACUUUAUAUAGUAUAGCUUUGGGCCAUGUAGCAUUUUAAGACUCAAUUUUAAAAAAUUAUUAAUCUGUUGCUGACUCUUAAUUCCUAUUUCAAUAUGUGUUUCCUUGAAGAAUUCAGGAUACAACUUCUUGUGUAUGACAGCUUUCCUUCACACACUAUUUUUGUGGGUGUGUAUAUAUCUGAUUUGGGAAGAAUUUAAAAAACACAUAGCUUUUUAAUUUGUUUGAAACAGACUUUCUGCCUGUUACAUUUUUGCUUUUAACCAAUUAAAGAAGCCAAUGGCAUUUUAGUUUU